rnacentral:lncRNA from 1 species
AGGAAGGUUCUCCAGAGAACAACAGACAGUGGAAGGUUCUCCUCAGAACAACAGACAGAGGAAGGUUCUCCUCAGAACAACAGACAGAGGAAGGUUCUCCUCAGAACAACAGACAGAGGAAGGUUCUCCAGAGAACAACAGACAGAGGAAGGUUCUCCUCAGAACAACAGACAGAGGAAGGUUCUCCUCAGAACAACAGACAGAGGAAGGUUCUCCAGAGAACAACAGACAGAGGAAGGUUCUCCUCAGAACAACAGUCAGAGGAAGGUUCUCCAGAGAACAACAGACAGAGGAAGGUUCUCCUCAGAACAACAGACAGAGGAAGGUUCUCCUCAGAACAACAGACAGUGGAAGGUUCUCCAGAGAACAACAGACAGAGGAAGGUUCUCCUCAGAACAACAGUCAGAGGAAGGUUCUCCUCAGAACAACAGACAGAGGAAGGUUCUCCUCAGAACAACAGACAGAGGAAGGUUCUCCUCAGAACAACAGACAGAGGAAGGUUCUCAUCAGAACAACAGACAGAGGAAGGUUCUCCUCAGGACAACAGACAGAGGAAGGUUCUCCAGAGAACAACAGACAGAGGAAGGUUCUCAUCAGAACAACAGACAGAGGAAGGUUCUCCUCAGAACAACAGACAGAGGAAGGUUCUCCUCAGAACAACAGACACAGGAAGUGGUUUGAUUUUAAUUAAGGAAAGACACUAUCUGCAUCUCUUACUUUCUCUCUCUUUUUUUUUAAUAGAAAUCAUUUUUUGCACAAUAUGAAAAAAUGUUCCUCACAUCUAAGACGAACUAACAUGGUAAAGGAAGUAAAGAAAGGAAGGAGAAGCAUUCAGCAUGGUGGUGUAUAAAUGAGUCUGAUCAGUAAAGACAGACUUCAUCACAGUAGGCAAUGGGAUGGAGACUGGUCCAGGGUCCUUUGUCUUGGGAAUGUCCACGGUAUUUAGCUGUGGGGGAAAUGAGGGAUUGAUAUGAGUUUCAUUUGUUGUUUUGUGAAGUUAUAA